CCUACGGGAGACAGCAGUGAGGAAUAUUGGUCAAUGGCCGAGAGUCUGAACCAGCCAAGUCGCGUGAGGGAAGAAUGUCCUAAGGAUUGUAAACCUCUUUUGUCGGGGAGUAAAAAGGCUCUGCGGUGUCGUAUUGAGAGUACCCUAAGAAAAAGCAUCGGCUAACUCCGUGCCAGCAGCCGCGGUAAUACGGAGGAUGCGAGCGUUAUCCGGAUUUAUUGGGUUUAAAGGGUGCGCAGUGGGCGUGUAAAGCAAGCGGUAAAAUUGUGGGGCUCAACCCAAUCGAGCAGUUUGAACUGGCGGGCUUGAGUUCAGGCGAGGUAGGCGGAAUUCGUGGUGUAGCGGUGAAAUGCAUAGAUAUCACGAAGAACUCCGAUUGCGAAGGCAGCUUACCAGUCUGCGACUGACGCUGAGGCACGAAAGUGUGGGUAUCGAACAGGAUUAGAUACCCGUGUAGUC
rnacentral:rRNA from 1 species